AGUGAACGCUGGCGGUAGGCCUAACACAUGCAAGCCGAACGGCAGCACAGUAAGAGCUUGCUCUUACGGGUGGCGAGUGGCGGACGGGUGAGGAAUACAUCGGAAUCUACUUUUUCGUGGGGGAUAACGUAGGGAAACUUACGCUAAUACCGCAUACGACCUACGGGUGAAAGCAGGGGAUCUUCGCACCUUGCGCGAUUGAAUGAGCCGAUGUCGGAUUAGCUAGUUGGCGGGGUAAAGGCCCACCAAGGCGACGAUCCGUAGCUGGUCUGAGAGGAUGAUCAGCCACACUGGAACUGAGACACGGUCCAGACUCCUACGGGAGGCAGCAGUGGGGAAUAUUGGACAAUGGGCGCAAGCCUGAUCCAGCCAUGCCGCGUGGGUGAAGAAGGCCUUCGGGUUGUAAAGCCCUUUUGUUGGGAAAGAAGAGCAGCAGGUUAAUACCCCGCUGUUCUGACGGUACCCAAAGAAUAAGCACCGGCUAACUUCGUG
rnacentral:rRNA from 1 species